rnacentral:SRP_RNA from 1 species
GCCGGGUGAGGUGGCUCACACCUGUAAUCCCAGCACUUUGGGAGGCCGAGGCGGGUGGAUCACCUGAGGUCAGGAGUUCAAGACCAGCCUGGCCAACAUGGUGAAACCCCGUCUCCU